rnacentral:rRNA from 1 species
AUGGCUCAGGAUGAACGCUAGCGGCAGGCUUAACACAUGCAAGUCGAGGGGCAGCGCGGAGUAGCAAUACUCUGGCGGCGACCGGCGAAAGGGUGAGUAACGCGUGAGCAACAUGCCCGAUAGUGGAGGAUAGUCGAUGGAAACGUCGCGUAAUACUCCGUAACAUACGGGACCGCAUGAUUCUGUAUUAAUAGAUUUAUUGCUAUCGGAUUGGCUCGCGUACCAUUAGCUAGUUGGCGGGGUAACGGCCCACCAAGGCGACGAUGGUUAGGGGUUCUGAGAGGAAGGUCCCCCACAUUGGAACUGAGACACGGUCCAGACUCCUACGGGAGGCAGCAGUGAGGAAUAUUGGACAAUGGCCGUAAGGCUGAUCCAGCCAUGCCGCGUGCGGGAAAGACGGCCCUAUGGGUUGUAAACCGCUUUUGUUGGGGAGCAAUAAGGAGCACGUGUGCUUCGAUGAGAGUACCCAGCGAAUAAGCAUCGGCUAACUCCGUGCCAGCAGCCGC